ensembl:lncRNA
GCUAUUAGUCAAGAUGGUUAGGGACUCAAUCCCCAUGCUCCAGGUAUCUAGUUCUAGUGCUAGACACUGGGACUAUACAACACUUGAAAUUGCCCAGUAAUGUUCAUUUCUUCUGAAGCAUCUGGCACUGGUCACUUUCAGAAGACAAGGUACUCCCAUUGUCCGAUCAUCUCUCUUUAACCGCAUGGAAGAUUUCCCUAAUAUCUAAUAUAAAUGUCUCUAUUUUUAUUCAAUUAAGGUCUGAGAACCCAUUAGUGGAUGGACUACCUGAAGUCAAUGUUGGAUUCUUGGUAAGAAGAUCAGAAAAGUUUUACAUUGUUCCCACUGUACAGAGUGUAUGCGGGGGUGGGGGAGAAGUGACAGGGGAAAAGGUCAGAGUGUUGGCCACAUAGUGUAGCCAAAAAGCCUCAGAAUACCGUGUAGGCCACUGACAGCUUCAAACAUAAUCCUGAAGGCAGCUCUGCUUAGUGUAUUGUGUCGCAUGUCUCCUUCUGAACCCCCUAACAGUUGAGUGACUAAAUAUCUGGGUUCCUCUCAGAGAUCCCUUUCUAAAAUAAUAUUUUAGGUGCCUCAAAAACUCAUUAAGCCACUCUUUUAAAUCAGGUUUCCUGCUCAAUGCUGGAGUCAGCAAUCCUUUAUCUCCUCUACUGUUCACAGCAUUCCUUAAACCCACAGUUCAUAAAUUGCUUUGGUUAUUGGUAAAAUACUCUUAUUAGGAACUCAUUGGGAUAUUGUCUGUCAUUUUACACAGAGGAACAGAAUAAUAAACAUACUGUGUUUUCCAACCCUAAAUCGAUAGACUCCUCCCUGUGCCCUACCCAUUCCUAACAUUUUGUUGUUUCCAUUUAAUUUAGGAUGAAGGCUCCAUCAAGGGUCAGACCAUGUGUCCACACCCAGUUUUCAGCUACUUUUUGGCCCUUCACAUACUUUUUCUUGCCAAAUGAAGCCUCUUCACCUCUCUAAAAGGCAGAUCCAUCCUCCUUCAUCAGGAUGAAUACUCCAUCAUGGGUUCAUUUAAUCAGUGACUCUCCCUUGCCUGCCCCUGUACUCCCCGAGGCUCCGUUCUUCAUGCUUUAUGAAACUUUCCUCAAACAGACUGGACCCUCUACCCCUGAGACACAGUGUACAUUAGCCGAGAGCUCAGAUUCUCAGAUUCAGUGAUCAGCCCCAAGAAGGCCAUGUAGUGCCAAUCCCCUCUUCAGCGAGUAUUCAAGUUCUCCUUAAUUCUAGCUUGUGCGUACAUUAAGAAUGGUGUGGAAGAGGAUCCGUAAGGGCUUAAGUGUAUGUAAGGAAUAGUGCUGCCACCUUCCUGAUAAUGGAGGACAGUUCUCUCAGUCUGGGAACUGUAAGAAAGCUCGACAUUCUCUCUCUCACCCUGGGCACUGUCUGACCCCUAAAUAGCCCUGACCAUGACUCCACACCUUAACAUCCAAAACACUCCACACCCCAACAUCCAUGAUUAGAGCAAAUUGUCCCACCCUUUCCUUAUCUCCAGCAUUUGGCCACUGAACAGAUCACAGUGUGUUCGUUGCCCUGGGAGGCUUCAGUCCAACCAUUCUAUCCUGAAAGAGGUUUGCUUUAAUUUUGAGCAGACCCUCUUCCAUUCAGUGAGUACAGGAGAUCUACUGUGCAGGGACAUCUUUCUUUCUUUUGUGCAGGGAGGGGUCAGUAAAG